CCAAUAGCGUAUAUUAAAGUGUUGCAGUUAAAAAGCUCGUAGAUGAAUUUCAGGGUCAGUAGGUCGGUCGUGCCACUGGUAUGAACUGGUUUUAAUGAUUCCUCCCUCUCGAAGAACUGUAAUGCCAUUAAUUUGGUGUUGCAGGGAAUCAGGACUGUUACUUUGAAAAAAUUAGAGUGUUUAAAGCAGGCUUUAGCUUGAAUACAUUAGCAUGGAAUAAUGAAAUAGGACGUUUGAUCCUAUUUUGUUGGUUUCUAGGAUUGACGUAAUGAUUAAUAGGGAUAGUUGGGGGCAUUAGUAUUCAAUUGUCAGAGGUGAAAUUCUUGGAUUUAUUGAAGACUAACUACUGCGAAAGCAUUUGCCAAGGAUGUUUUCAUUAAUCAAGAACGAAAGUUAGGGGAUCGAAGACGAUCAGAUACCGUCGUAGUCUUAACCAUAAACUAUGCCGACUAGGGAUCGGAUGAUGUUAAUUUUUUAAUGACUCA
rnacentral:rRNA from 1 species